rnacentral:lncRNA from 1 species
UCCCCAGCUUUUGUCUUAACCGUGCGCUGCGUAUCUCUUCCUUAGCCUUCCUCGCAGUAUCCAUGACUCAGGAGCUUUUUAUCAGCUUCUCCCUGCCUGCCCCACCGGUCACGUAGUUUGCGAACGUCCUCGGCUUUUUGGUCUCCUCGUGCGGGAGCUGACUUCUCCCUCUGACGAGCUGCCAACGCUGGAUUUGGCUGCUGCUGAGUUUUAACCAGUGCUCUCCUUGGAGCUAUCGACGACAACCCCCAGAUUUCUUUUUCCUCAGAGGUAACAGCUGAAGCUAACAAUAAACGUGAGAGAGUUCCCCUGUCACUAUGUAUGCGGCGUGAACUUAACCCAAUUUUUAAAAAUUAUCGCGCACCACUUUAAAAUGAGGAAAAAAAACACAAUGGAAAGAAAAAUCCUGUAUACAAAACCCUGUCCACGGGACGGUCGUUAGUCACAGCUUUAAUUUCAGUUAAUAUUAAAUGUUUAGCUUGAGUCUAACAGCGCCGGGCAGCUGAAUGAGCUUGGCUGGGUUUUACCUACCCGCUGCUCUGCCUGGCGUUUCGCUUUGGCCUCUGGCCCUCAACCUCAAGAGAUUAUUCAUUUCUGAGUACACAAGCUCAGGAUAAACUGCUUAACUGACAUUUGGAGUCUAUUAAUAUCAGUCGUCGUGUUUUGGUCCGAGAUGAAGCGGGGCCAAGCCACCAGUACCAAAUUAACCAACCACGGCUCUAUCUCUGGAUGCUCUCAGCUGAUUUUCCUGGGACAAAAACUCGUCUUUCUGAAGGAUGUCGUGGUGCCUCGUGCAGCUCGAGCAAGGCAGUUACUUCACCGUGCCUGUUACAGUGCUGACACCAGAGCUGGUGCUCCCAGCCUCGUGCAGUUUGAAGCACUUUUGACAACAACUCCACGUGGGAGCAGGCUGGCUGCUGCGCAGGACGUUUGGAGAUGCUUUAGUUGCCCAGAGGGAUGGCAGAGAAGGGGAACCCUGCGUGAUUUCCCAUCCCAAUUCAGCUACAGACCGGGGAAAUCCCAUUUUUGCUGCUCUAAGAACACCAAUCGAGUCUGGAGAAGCCAAAACCGAAUGGUUCCAGCAGACCCUGAUGAAGAAAACCCUCUUCCAGGGGGAUUUCACCCAAUUUUGGCUCACACGCACUCUUCACACAGCUCUGAGUGGCUUCUUCACGUGCUGGGUGGGCAGCAGGACUCGGACACCGCAGGAAUCAUCACUGCUUCCAAAGCAACCCCAAGAAAAGAGGAUUAGGGCACUAUUUUUGCCUUUCUUCUCCAUUUUUACCACUCCCAUUUCGGCUCGCAGGCUGAGAAGGGAAAGCUUCUGCUUUAGCAGAGCCGUUGGUGCUCAGAAAGCAAGGUGCCAGCGCCGGGUGCUGGAGAUUUUUGCCAGCACAGCCCAAAAUUGGAUGCUCAGCUGCACGUUUUGGGUUCUGGUGGCCUCAGGAGCGUGGCUUUGGCUGCAGCAGCGCUGCUGGGGAUGGAGCAGAGCCAGGGAUGGGGAGAUGGGGGAUAAGGGUCAGCACCCGGGGUGGAUGCUUGGGUCUUGGGUGUUCAGAUACUCAAAUAUUUGGACCUCGGACGCUCAGAUCUCAGAUCUUGGGUGCUGGGAA